GGGUUGUGAGGUUAAGCGACUAAGCGUACACGGUGGAUGCCCUGGCAGUCAGAGGCGAUGAAGGACGUGCUAAUCUGCGAAAAGCGUCGGUAAGGUGAUAUGAACCGUUAUAACCGGCGAUGUCCGAAUGGGGAAACCCAGUGCAAUUCGUUGCACUAUCGUUAACUGAAUACAUAGGUUAACGAGGCGAACCGGGGGAACUGAAACAUCUAAGUACCCCGAGGAAAAGAAAUCAACCGAGAUUCCCCCAGUAGCGGCGAGCGAACGGGGAGCAGCCCAGAGUCUGAAUCAGCUUGUGUGUUAGUGGAACGGUCUGGAAAGUCCGACGGUACAGGGUGAUAGUCCCGUACACCAAAAUGCACAGGCUGUGAACUCGAAGAGUAGGGCGGGACACGUGGUAUCCUGUCUGAAUAUGGGGGGACCAUCCUCCAAGGCUAAAUACUCCUGACUGACCGAUAGUGAACCAGUACCGUGAGGGAAAGGCGAAAAGAACCCCGGCGAGGGGAGUGAAAAAGAACCUGAAACCGUGUACGUACAAGCAGUGGGAGCACCUUCGGGUGUGACUGCGUACCUUUUGUAUAAUGGGUCAGCGACUUAUAUUCUGUAGCAAGGUUAACCGUAUAGGGGAGCCGCAGGGAAACCGAGUCUUAACUGGGCGUUAAGUUGCAGGGUAUAGACCCGAAACCCGGUGAUCUAGCCAUGGGCAGGUUGAAGGUUGGGUAACACUAACUGGAGGACCGAACCGACUAAUGUUGAAAAAUUAGCGGAUGACUUGUGGCUGGGGGUGAAAGGCCAAUCAAACCGGGAGAUAGCUGGUUCUCCCCGAAAGCUAUUUAGGUAGCGCCUCGUGAACUCAUCUUCGGGGGUAGAGCACUGUUUCGGCUAGGGGGUCAUCCCGACUUACCAACCCGAUGCAAACUACGAAUACCGAAGAAUGUUAUCACGGGAGACACACGGCGGGUGCUAACGUCCGUCGUGAAGAGGGAAACAACCCAGACCGCCAGCUAAGGUCCCAAAGUCAUGGUUAAGUGGGAAACGAUGUGGGAAGGCACAGACAGCCAGGAUGUUGGCUUAGAAGCAGCCAUCAUUUAAAGAAAGCGUAAUAGCUCACUGGUCGAGUCGGCCUGCGCGGAAGAUGUAACGGGGCUAAACCAUGCACCGAAGCUGCGGCAGCGACACUAUGUGUUGUUGGGUAGGGGAGCGUUCUGUAAGCCUGCGAAGGUGACCUGUGAGGGUUGCUGGAGGUAUCAGAAGUGCGAAUGCUGACAUAAGUAACGAUAAAGCGGGUGAAAAGCCCGCUCGCCGGAAGACCAAGGGUUCCUGUCCAACGUUAAUCGGGGCAGGGUGAGUCGACCCCUAAGGCGAGGCCGAAAGGCGUAGUCGAUGGGAAACAGGUUAAUAUUCCUGUACUUGGUGUUACUGCGAAGGGGGGACGGAGAAGGCUAUGUUAGCCGGGCGACGGUUGUCCCGGUUUAAGCAUGUAGGCUGGUUAUCCAGGCAAAUCCGGAUAAUCAAGGCUGAGGUGUGAUGACGAGGCACUACGGUGCUGAAGUAACAAAUGCCCUGCUUCCAGGAAAAGCCUCUAAGCAUCAGGUAACAUUGAAUCGUACCCCAAACCGACACAGGUGGUCAGGUAGAGAAUACCAAGGCGCUUGAGAGAACUCGGGUGAAGGAACUAGGCAAAAUGGUGCCGUAACUUCGGGAGAAGGCACGCUGGUGUGUAGGUGAAGUCCCUGCGGAUGGAGCUGAGACCAGUCGAAGAUACCAGCUGGCUGCAACUGUUUAUUAAAAACACAGCACUGUGCAAACACGAAAGUGGACGUAUACGGUGUGACGCCUGCCCGGUGCCGGAAGGUUAAUUGAUGGGGUUAUCCGUAAGGAGAAGCUCUUGAUCGAAGCCCCGGUAAACGGCGGCCGUAACUAUAACGGUCCUAAGGUAGCGAAAUUCCUUGUCGGGUAAGUUCCGACCUGCACGAAUGGCGUAAUGAUGGCCAGGCUGUCUCCACCCGAGACUCAGUGAAAUUGAACUCGCUGUGAAGAUGCAGUGUACCCGCGGCAAGACGGAAAGACCCCGUGAACCUUUACUAUAGCUUGACACUGAACAUUGAGCCUUGAUGUGUAGGAUAGGUGGGAGGCUUUGAAGCGUGGACGCCAGUCUGCGUGGAGCCAACCUUGAAAUACCACCCUUUAAUGUUUGAUGUUCUAACGUUGGCCCCUGACCGGGGUUGCGGACAGUGUCUGGUGGGUAGUUUGACUGGGGCGGUCUCCUCCCAAAGCGUAACGGAGGAGCACGAAGGUUAGCUAAUCCUGGUCGGACAUCAGGAGGUUAGUGCAAUGGCAUAAGCUAGCUUGACUGCGAGCGUGACGGCGCGAGCAGGUGCGAAAGCAGGUCAUAGUGAUCCGGUGGUUCUGAAUGGAAGGGCCAUCGCUCAACGGAUAAAAGGUACUCCGGGGAUAACAGGCUGAUACCGCCCAAGAGUUCAUAUCGACGGCGGUGUUUGGCACCUCGAUGUCGGCUCAUCACAUCCUGGGGCUGAAGUAGGUCCCAAGGGUAUGGCUGUUCGCCAUUUAAAGUGGUACGCGAGCUGGGUUUAGAACGUCGUGAGACAGUUCGGUCCCUAUCUGCCGUGGGCGCUGGAGAAUUGAGGGGGGCUGCUCCUAGUACGAGAGGACCGGAGUGGACGCAUCACUGGUGUUCGGGUUGUCAUGCCAAUGGCACUGCCCGGUAGCUAAAUGCGGAAGAGAUAAGUGCUGAAAGCAUCUAAGCACGAAACUUGCCCCGAGAUGAGUUCUCCCUGAGACUUUAAGUCUCCUGAAGGAACGUUAAAGACGAUGACGUUGAUAGGCCGGGUGUGUAAGCGCAGCGAUGCGUUGAGCUAACCGGUACUAAUGAACCGUGAGGCUUAACCUUACAACGCCGAAG
rnacentral:rRNA from 1 species